ensembl:lncRNA
CGUGUUAGUCAGGUUUCUCAAGCAGGGAAUCCCAAUGCAGUCAGAAUAUGUCAAUACGCCAGUGAGCUGUUAGCAGUGGAGAGAGGAAAUGUGUCACACCUUUCCGACUAUGUUUCCUCCUCACCUAGGCUACUUUCUUAUCUGUCUGUCAAUAAAGCAUAAAACAUACAGGAGAGUCACUGUCCUUUAAAAAGAAAGAGAGAUGAACCCCAGAUCUCCAACUCAUUUUCCUCAGCUUCAGAAGCAUCUACAUUCACCACAUCUUGUGUGGUUAUCCUUAGACAUAUUCUCCAGACCUUCACCAGGUCUCCUCAAGGCCUUCUUCACCAGGUCUCCUCAUGGCCUCCUUCACCAGGUCUCCUCAUGGCCUCCUUCAGCAGGUCUCCUCAUGGCCUUCAGCAGGUCUCCU